rnacentral:lncRNA from 1 species
CCACUAGAGAGAAGUAAAGCACACACUAUAUCCUAGGGUCAAUAAACUUUGGCGCAAGUGCUGUAUGCUUUUCUUAAAAAGAGAAAGAACGAAAGUUUUGUUUGUAUACCACAAAAGGCUCUGCAUCAUCUUUUGGCAUCUUGAGAAGGUCCUCCAAUCCGGUUCUCACCCUUUGAUCCUUCCGGGAAUCAGAAUCUGGUGACACACUUCUUGCAUUGCUAGGAUCAGCAUUUGGUAUUUGUCCCAAUAGACUUUGUCAAAGUGCUGUAUGCUUUUCUUAAAAAGAGAAAAAGAAUAGAAGUUUUGUUUGUAUACCACAAAAGGCUCGUCAUCUUUUGGCAUCUUGAGAAGGUCCUCCAAUCUGGUUCUCACCCUUUUGAUCCUUCCGGGAAGCAUCAGAAUCUGGUGAUACACUUCUUGCAUUGCUAGGAUCAGCGUUCGGUAUUUGUUCGAUAGAUUUUUGUUUAAUAGCCUUGUCUUGCACCACAGCGGAACUGCU